GGGCCUAUGGUACAGUGGUAGCACACGGCAUUCGCAUUGCCGGGACGGCGGUUCGAUUCCGCCUAGGUCCACAA
rnacentral:tRNA from 1 species